rnacentral:rRNA from 1 species
AAAGCCCUUUUGGCGAGGACGAUGAUGACGGUACCUGCAGAAUAAGCCCCGGCUAACUUCGUGCCAGCAGCCGCGGUAAUACGAAGGGGGCUAGCGUUGCUCGGAAUGACUGGGCGUAAAGGGCGCGUAGGCGGCGAUCAAAGUCAGGCGUGAAAUUCCUGGGCUCAACCUGGGGGCUGCGCUUGAUACUUGGUUGCUUGAGUGGGGAAGAGGGUCGUGGAAUUCCCAGUGUAGAGGUGAAAUUCGUAGAUAUUGGGAAGAACACCGGUGGCGAAGGCGGCGACCUGGUCCUUGACUGACGCUGAGGCGCGAAAGCGUGGGGAGCAAACAGGAUUAGAUACCCUGGUAGUCCACGCCGUAAACGAUGUCGAUUUGGAGGUUGUGCCCUUGAGGCGUGGCUUCCGGAGCUAACGCGUUAAAUCGACCGCCUGGGGAGUACGGCCGCAAGGUUAAAACUCAAAUGAAUUGACGGGGGCCCGCACAAGCGGUGGAGCAUGUGGUUUAAUUCGAUGCAACGCGAAGAACCUUACCUACUCUUGACAUCCACGGAACUUGCCAGAGAUGGCUUAGUGCCUUCGGGAACCGUGAGACAGGUGCUGCAUGGCUGUCGUCAGCUCGUGUUGUGAAAUGUUGGGUUAAGUCCCGCAACGAGCGCAACCCUUAUCCUUUGUUGCCAGCACGUAAUGGUGGGAACUCAAAGGAGACUGCCGGUGAUAAACCGGAGGAAGGUGGGGAUGACGUCAAGUCAUCAUGGCCCUUACGAGUAGGGCUACACACGUGCUACAAUGGCGUAUACAAAGAGAAGCGACCUCGCGAGAGUCAGCGGACCUCAUAAAGUACGUCGUAGUCCGGAUUGGAGUCUGCAACUCGACUCCAUGAAGUCGGAAUCGCUAGUAAUCGUAGAUCAGAAUGCUACGGUGAAUACGUUCCCGGGCCUUGUACACUCCGCCC